AUGUGCAGGCUUCACAUGUCCACGUGCCAUGGGCCUGUGUGCUAUAUGCACAUGUGCAUGCCUUGUGCAGGCUUCAUGUCUGUGUGCAGUGUGCAUGUGUGUGCAGGCUGUGUGUGUCUACGUGCAGUGUGCAUAUGCGCUCAUGUGCUUUGUGCAUUCCCGUGUCCUGUGUGCGCGUGUCCCUUGUGCACAUGCACCGUGUGUGUCCCCGUGCUUUGGCCAUGUGCAUGUGCCAUAUCCAUGUUCCACACAUGCCUGGACACUACGUGGAGGCAUGGCCUGCAUGUGUGUAUUCGCUUCGUGCAUGUGGCGUGUCUGUGCACACGUGUGCGGUGUGUGCAGUGGCCCCGGCUCUGGUGGGGGCAGGGCGGUGAGUUGGGGCAGGCGCCGCGGCCCUGCUCCAGCCCUGGGAAACAUCCUUGGGCUCGCAGCAGACAUAACAAACCAUCAGCCUCGCGCGGCGCCGGCGCCCUGCCAGCCCCCACCCAGCCCCUCCACGUCUGCAGCCACUUUCCAGUGCGCGGGGCCCUGCCAGCCCCAAUCCCGCUAAUGCUGGGAGCUGGCUCACGACUUCCGUCCUGCCCCAUCUGCCACCACGUGCCUGGGCAGGGAGGCAUCAUGUCCCCUUGCGUCCCCCACCCCCAGCUCUCCUUGUGGCGGGUAAAAACCGGUGGUGUCUUCAUGGCUGGACCCCACUGGGGUCACUGCCGGAGAACAGCCCCACGGGCAUCCCUGUCACCCACAAGCCUGGUACCAGCUCCACCUGGGGGGCACCAGGCACCAAACCCGGCCCUACGUCUCGUCCCUGCCGGAGGGGGUGGGGGCAUCCGGCUGGGGCAGGGCAGCACCCGCACUCCCCCAGCCCAGGGGCAGCCCUGGGGGUGCCUGGGAGAGUCUCCCGGAGCCCCCGGCCAGGCUGCAGGGUCCAUGCUGGGGCUGAGGCCAGGCGUGGGCCGCCAGGAGAGCAGGACCCAGGGGUGCAGGACCCAGGGGUGCGGGGUGUCGCGGGGUGCAGGACCCGUGGGUGCCGUCGGACCCGGGAGUGAGGGGUGCAGGCCCGGGGGUGCCGCCUUGGGGGUGUGUGGUGCAGGACCUAGGGGUGCUGCAGGACCCGGGGGUGCGGGGUGCAGGCCUGGGAGUGUGGGGUGCGGGACCCAGGGGUGCCACGGGAGCCGGGGAUGCAGGCCCGGGGUGCGGGGUGCCCCCGGGGUGCCGCGCCGCCCGCACUCACCUCCGCCGCCCGCGCCGCUACAAUAA
rnacentral:lncRNA from 1 species